rnacentral:lncRNA from 1 species
AAUGAAUUCUACAUCUGGGUUCAACUCUUCGUCGAUUCCCAGCACUGCAAUGAAUUCUACAUCUGGGUUCACCCCUUCGUCGAUCCCUAGCACUGCAAUGAAAUCUACAUCUGGUAUAUUGGUCCCUUUAUUCUAGUUAGCUGAUUGAACUGAAACAGAGUGGCUAUGUGAUCCUUAUUUUCACGUUAUAUGCUUUGAUGUGUCGCUAGAAGGCCUAAUAUGUAAAGCAGAUUUUGCGUAUUAAGAAUCCCCUAAAAUGUUGCUAAUGGUUUUUGGACAUCUGUAAUUCAACAGCUAAGAUAUUACAGUGAAUAUUACUCUUAUAUGUCCUCCCGCUGACCCCAGAGUCUUUGUAAAUAUUUAAAAUAUUAUGUAUACAUUUUAACUUUGGACUGAAAUGCAGGUUUAUUCUCUGCACUGAUAAAAUCAGGAAGUCACAUAAAGUAGGUCCACUUGUGUUAGUGCACACGCACUCACCUGACAACUUCGGUUAGGUCUGCAAGCACCUGAGACCCCUAUGGGAGUAACUACCACUGGGCCUAAGUUGCUAUCUAAUUUUUGAUUAGUUGGUCAGAUUGGAAAUUUAGACUGGACACCAGGGUUCACACCCCUUCCCUUAUGAAGUGCAUGGGCUCUUAAGUGACCACAGAGUCAGAACACCAUUUAAAAUCCAAAAUGAAACAUUAUCACUUCCAGUAACAUCUGGUCUUCCAUGCAGGGACAGACUAGACCUGACCACACUUAGCUUCAGCGUGAAGCCAGAAGUGGAAUGCAGGGUGCUAUGCUGAUAUAGCAAGGCCUCUCUAAUAACCUAUAUGAUUUGGGAUUUACAUCUUGGUACUCUAAUUUUCAUGUGUAUAGCAAACACAAACCUGUUGUUAAUGCUCAUUCUGUUGUACAGGUCCUAUUGCAGAGAAUUCAUCUAAAAAUGAAAAUGUAAGUUCAAGCAUUUUUUAGGACUUUCAGAUUAGUCUUACGCUUACAAAGAACUUCCCCUAUCGUUUUACAGUACUGUUGUUUCAAAGGCCUGACGUGACACUUUUUUUCCCCUCCAGUCUGAUAAAUACCACGUGUAUUGCUCAAUCCCAGACAGACCAGCAACCUCAGCCCAGACAGAUGGGUUGUAAAGUCUUCUGCAGAAACAUUGAAUCUAUUUGCUUUCUGUAGCAAUGUUUAACAGGUCUAAAAUAAAUACACACUCUCUAACAUGAAGUCCUCUGUUUAUAUCAAACACCACGUUAAUUUAACUCCACAUU